CGGGGCCUACGGGACGCAGCAGUGAGGAAUAUUGGUCAAUGGUCGGGAGACUGAACCAGCCAAGCCGCGUGAGGGAGGAAGGUACAGAGUAUCGUAAACCCCUUUUGUCAGGGAACAAAGGCGGGGACGUGUCCCCGGAUGAGUGUACCUUAUGAAUAAGCAUCGGCUAACUCCGUGCCAGCAGCCGCGGUAAUACGGAGGAUACGAGCGUUAUCCGGAUUUAUUGGGUUUAAAGGGGGCGUAGGCGGUAUUUUAAGUUAGUGGUAAAACGUCGGGGCUUCACCUUGGUUUGCCAUUAAAAAUGG
rnacentral:rRNA from 1 species